AAUAAUCCAACUACUACCCUUUACCUACCCGCCUUAAACCUACCAAACACCUAACCCUAAUUCAUUCCCUCUCAGAUUGGCCGCCCCUCUUUCCCUAAACUCUCUCUUUUCUCUCAUCCUUUCAAUCUCUAUCAGUCCUAAAUUCUUGCACAAAUAUGUGCAAUGUCACAAAAUUAAACUUCACAAUACUCAAUCUAUCCCUAUACUUACGAAUCCUACCAUUUUAUUUCUUCUUUCAUCACUGAGAUUCAAAAUCCCCAAACCUGAAACCCUAGACUCAAAAAUGAAACUUCAAAUCUUCUGAUUUCUCUUGUGGUCUUUUAAAUCAGAUCAUGCAUGAAGGUUUUAUACGGAUUCAUCAUUGUUAUUCGAUGUCCAGAGAGACCUCUAGAUGUUGGAGUUUGACUUGUUGUUUAUCACUCAUCAACGGUCAAUUUUUCAUUCUCAUAUUCCUAGGUAAAACUGCUUCAUUAUUUUCCCUCUGUGCUCUUCUGAUUUCACUCCUUCCCUAUCGUCAUCUACCCGUUCGUCAUCAUCCACUACUUGUUUGAACUAAUCUAAAAACCUAAGACUUGAAUGCCACAAUACAAAGGGUCAUUUAAUUCCUUCACCUAACACACUUAUAUACCAUCUGAAAUACAAAAAAGAAAGAAAUAAAUAGUAAGUUCCAAGGUUUCCUCACUCUUUACUGUUUUCUUUUCCGGUCCUGAGUUCGAUUGUUGUACUGGUUUUGAGUAUAUCCUUAAACGGCUAUUAAAUCACUCUCGUUUGGUUUGCUUCCCGGUAGAAGGUCAGUAUACACUGACCUUCCCUUUUUUCGAUUAUCUGUGUUAUUUUAUGCUUACCAUGUCUUCUUCUGUUGAUUAUCUUUUGUUCGUGAUAUAUGUUAGUAGUUUGUAAUUGAUUAUUAUUUUCUUCUUGCAUAUGUUAUCCCUAAUGUUUGAGUUAAUUAUUUCCUGAUAUUUUGUGUUUGUUCUAGUAUGGCUAGUUAAUCUAUGUUAAUGAACCUUAUGACUUAACUGGACAGAUAGUUGUUAUAGUGAAUGAUCUGAAUUCUGCUUAGCCUUUGUCAUUAUUAAAGGGUCUUCUGAUGAUUCUAUGUGUGCUUGUUAAAUGUAAUACCAUGUUUAGUUAGCUUGAUCAAGUUGUGUUCUUAGACAUUUUUUGAUGUUCUAACGAGGGUUGAGGUCUGUUACAACUGUGCUAUAUUGGUUCUUAGAUUAUUAAUAGUAUACCAUUAGUUAAUAUGUUUAAAAAUGAUCUCUAUUAUUGUAUCCAUGCCACACACUUAACUAACAUGUUUGACUGAGCAAUAGGUUGUUAAAACCAUGUCUGUUGUGCAUAUUUUAAAGCUUACAUGAUCUGAACUUUUGUAAAUAAAUUCAUUAGUUUAGUUAUUAGGUUAUCUGCCCCCAUGAUAUGUUAUGUAUUCUUGUAACGCUUUGGAAACAUCAUUGUGUAUAGGUUUGAGUAUCUUCUGUUAACUCUCAUACUUGUAUGUUUACUCGGUUAAACUCAUGAACUUCUUCUUUGCUCUUUUAAGAAGGAUUCAUGUCUAAACCAUUAUAAUUUCCAUUUAAAACUGCUUUAUAGAAUAAGAAGUUAAACCUUGUUUAAUAUAAGCUUGAACUAUGUGAAUAUUUGAAAUGUUAUUGUUGUCACUCAUAGGCUUAAGGAAACUCACUGAAACUUGUUUACCUUUUUUAAUGAACACUGCCCUCAUGCUUGUUUGAUAUCCUUGGCUCUUAAAAGACUUAGUUGUGAAUUUGGAUGUUGAUUGAGAAUCUAAUAGGCUAAGAAUCAUGUUGUUAAGUUUGAAAUAGCUUUAUCUAAUAGGCUAAGAAUCAUGUUGGGUGCCUCUACUGUUUGUUGUUAUCUCUAAGGAAUCUAAUCAGGCCUGUUAGUAUAGGUAUUUAGUGUUGCACUCCCCUUUUCUCGUGAAAUCGGGUUUCGAUAUUUAUGAGACAACUCCUUUUGAGAGGGUAGGGAAUUAGAAUUGAAAGAGUCGCCACCUAACGGAUUAAGGUGCGUUAGGGCACCUAAAGCAGAUAACUCAUGUUACUAGUUUAUAUCACCAGAGAUCGAGUAAAGGCUCGAAAUUACCUUGAGGGAAAGGUGUUAGGCACCCCUCGAGGUACACAACGGUGGGUCCCAGCCGAACUUAACUUGUGAAUUAGUCUAAAAAAGUGAGAGGAAUAUUAAUAGGGAUGGGGGUCCUAAAUUUUUUAUCCUAAAGGAUCACCCCGUGCAAUAUAAAUAAUACUUCGUAACUCUCUCGAGUUGGGGUGUUACUCAUAUGAUUCAGCGGAAACAAACUAUCUUUAUCUGCUACCCGAUUACUAUCUUUAAGUUGUUACCUAAAGCGCUCUAAUUGAUUCUAGUUCGAUUCCUAUGUGUGCACUACCCGUCCCUUACCUAUGGCCCUGGAGGUAUUAGGACCUCUAUUUGGGAUAGUUCUAGACCCAGCAUACGUUGCUCAAAAAUGUAAAAGCCUAGUAGACAAUCAAAAACAAUUAGGACUUUCAGAUAGCAAACAGAUAUAGGCUCAUAUUGACCUCCACAUAUAAACAACAAAAGCACGCAAUUGAUUCAACAAACCUUAUUAACCUUAAAAUCCUAUAGGCAGGAUGUCUAUACGAGAAAACAGAGUGCAGAGGCAAUUUUAUUAAGGCGAGUGUUAAAACCUGUUGUUUGCCUACUGAUUUUAUUCAGCGUGGUCUGGGCAGUUCAGGCAGUUCUACAUCACAAUUAUAAAUCCAGGAUUAUUAAAUCCUAUAAGUAUAUUUCCUAAGUGAUUGCCAAGGGCGAUUGUAUUUAUAAUCAAUUGAUAGAAUCCUAUAAGCAUGAUUUCUACGAGUUUGAUGAUUACAUACCUAUAGACAUGAUUUCUAGGUGUAGCACUAACUUUAACUUACAGAGAUUGGUUAUAUUUCCUUUUAAUCCUAUAGGCAUGAUCUCUAACUGUCGUACUCACUUGAGUCCUAUAGGCAUGAUUUCUAGGUUUGAAAGUGGUUUUAGUCCUAUAAGUAUGGUAUCUUCUACUGAAUUGAUUUAAAUCCUAUAGGCAUGAUUUCUAGACUGAUUUUCAUCCUAUAGGCAUGAUUUCUACGAGUUAUGUAUAGGCAGAAAUUAUGCAGAUUGCCAGAAGAUUGAUCAAAUCAAACAUCGAGGUCCUAUAAGCAUGAUUGCUAAUUCACAUUUGUUGGAUUGAUAGACCCUAUGAGCAGGAUUUCUAAUAUGCAUUUCAUUAUCAACCCUAUAAGCAGGACUUCUAAUAUGCAAGCACAAAAUUAACAGCAUCAAUGAAAAUCCUAUAGACAGGAUUUCUAAGCACAGUAUAUAACUCAUACAGUUUUACCCAAAUGAAUAGAAUUGACAGUAUAACUAGAUCCUAUAGGCAGGAUUUCUACCUAGUUUAGCAAAAGGAAAUAAGAAAACCCCCCAGCUUUACUAAAUAUCCUCAGAAUAUGUUAUUACAAAGUUAUUACAAACUAGAAUAGCAAAUGAAUUACACAAUAGUAAUAAGAUACUAUAGGGAGCCUUUAUUAGGCCCAAAUAACCGGGGAACCAGGCCUUCCAAUCAUAACAACUUUGAGGCACAGCAUAGUGAUUCAUCCAUGGCACAUUAGCACCAGGUUUCUAGCGUGUCAAAUUUCCCAAGGGCCUCAGGGACCCAGGGGAAUGCUCACACCAGAACCAUACAUUCAGAAGAUAGCUCAUAAGAAAUUGGAAAACCAGUCUCUAAUGUGUCAGAGUUCACAGGAGUCUCAUGUGGACCCUGAGCAGUGCCCAUACUAGGGUGGUUGAGAACCUAAGGUCUAAGAGUGGAGUAAAUCAGUGCAGAAAAAAGAGGUAAGGGCAGGUUUCUAAAACAGUUUGAUUUCAGAAGAAACAAGAUUUAGGACAUAGAGUUGUUGGCAGAACUGCACCAAACAAGGUUAUGCUCAAACUCAUAGUUCAAGUAAGUUAGAGGUCUAGUUAAGCUAAACAUUCAUGCUAGUACCUAAGACAAUCAUUGUUUAAUCACAGAAGUAAUUAGGCAAAACAGUUAAGUUGUCCAGACACACGAAGUAAGCAACCAUACAAAAAUAUGUAGAGUUGGUAUUAAUGAACCAAUUUCAUGCUAAUAGUAUUAUAGGGAUACUGAGUUUAGAACAAGUGUAAGAUUAACAAGUAGUGUAUGAAACAAAUUUAGACAUUAGGCUAACUUAUAAGAGGAUUCGUAUUAUUCAAAAUAGCUUAAUCCUAAGUCAACAGUGUCACUCAUAAGACUAGAUGAGAUCAUAGAAUCACAUAAAAAUGACAGAAUCAUACUUGAAAUUAAAAUAUUCUAGUCAAGAAAAGCAUGGAGAAUGAGAUUGCAAAGGACUAUAUCAUACCAAUUAAGUAAGAAAGCAAGUAAAUAUGCCACAGCAGUUAAAUUCCAGAAUAACUUAGCCUUGGCUUUCAGUCAGCCAAAACCAGAGACAAUUAGCACAGAAUCAGAAUAAGAGAGCUUAAGUUUUUUUUAGUGAGAGUGUGAGAGUUCAAGUCUGUCGUAAAGGGGAAAGGAGAGGGGUUUAUAUAGCACUAAACUAGGGUACAUAAACAUGGGAAUAAUCAAUCAGCAUAUUUAAGGAAAAACUCAACACAUUAUAAAGGUAAGUCAGAGAUAAUAGUACAUAGACGUGUGUGAUAGUAAUUACACCAGUCUAGGAAUCAAAGAUUCUCAUGUAAUAAUUAAGGCGAGAACAAAUAGACAGAAUCAGUAAGAAAAGUGAAAUAAGAAUCGGAACCCUAAUUUUAGGGUAAAUAAAAUUAGCCAGAAUAAUCGAAGGAAUAUAACAUGCAUAUAGACAGCUAUAGGAAAGUAUUGAACAAAAAAUAAGAAUCAUAACAGGUCUGAGCCCUAAUUUUAGGGCAAAUAAGCUGGUCAGCAAAUUUACCAAAAUCGCAAUAGAGUGCAUAUAGACGAACAUAAAGGAACAUUAAAGGAGAUACUCAACAAAAAUAGAACUAGGACAGAUUUUAAAAGAUUUGAGCCCUAAUUUUAGAGUAAGUAAAAAACUAGUACGGAAACCACAGGAGAUUGUAUAGAAUUUUUAAGAAGAUAUUCAACCAUAAAUGGAACAAGAACAUAUCUUAAAUAUUUGAGCCCUAGUUUUAGGGAAAAUAAAUUAGACAACUUUUAAUGAAAAAAUCGCAAAGAAAAUAGACAUGCGGUGCGAUUUUAACAACAAUAAGAACAAAAAUUAAACAGGUCUUAAAGAUUUGAACCCUAAUUUUAAGGGUAAACCAGAAUUAAAAGAAUCUCAGAGAUUCAUUCCGUAAAGAGAUGAAGAAUGAACAUAGAUGAAAAAAAGUGAAGGUUCGAACUAGAUUUGGUUCAAAGCAAGAGAGAUCCACUUGCCUUGUUAGGUAAGUGAUUAUGUAAUACCAUAAUCGGUUAACCAGUAAUAGGAGACGACCAAUAAGGUAAGAAAAUUGUCUGUGGAUUCCAUCUCUGAGUUGGAAUCGAAGGGCAAAACGGGAUUACGGCGCUAGGGUUUCAAAAGAGGAAGAGAGCGUUUAGGAGUUUAAGGAUGGCGGAUGAUAGAGAAAUGGGGGAAUUAGGGUUAGGAGUGGUUAAUUAAAAAGGUAAGAGUGAACGGGAGCCAUUGAUCUUGAGAGAUCAACGGUUAGGAUUAAAGGUAAACGGGGCGGGUCAUAUAAAAUAGGUACUGACCGUGUUUUAAUAAGAGGUUGUUUGGUUUAGGCUCAGGAGAUAUUGGGCUGGUGUAAAGGUGUUGGGCUUGUGUAUUGGGUAGUUUUAAGUCCGAAAAUAGGAGUAAUUUAGGGCUAGAUUUUAUCUACCCAAUUAAAUCAGUAAAUAAUUUAUAAAAAAUAAUUAAUAAAAUAACAAAAAUAUCACUUGUGCAUAAAAAUGAUUUAAAAUAAUUACUUAAUAUUAUAAAAAUAUAAAAAGUCAUUUUUAUGUAAAUAAUGUAAUUAUGCAUAUAUAUAGGCUAUUAUUGCAAAAUAUGCAAUUUUAGCCUAAGGAUGCAAAAAAUAAAUAUAUUUAAAGCUUAAUAUGGAUAUAAAUGAUGCAAAUUAGAUAAUAAAUUAUAAUAAAAUUAUUUGUGAUGUAAUUAAUAUUUAUUUAUAUAAAAAUGCAGGAAUAAAUUGAUUAAAAGUCUUUAAAAAUUAUAAAAAAUUAUGGAAAAGUACUUGGUGAUGCUCAUGCAUUAUUUUGAAGGUGUAUAUGCAUAUUUGAAAUAUGUGAGGGAAAAAUUGGGUAUCAACAUUAGUAUAGUGAGGCCUCAACUAUAAGUACGUCUGUUUCUUAUUGUUCUGGAGAUCAUGUGAAUGAUCGUUGGAGUGUUGUAAACAUAGUUAAGGAUGCUUGAAAGUUUAAACCUGCCAAUAGAACUAAAGAAGUUAAUAUGUGUGUUUUCCCUACCCCUUGGAUCACCCAACUUAUCGUUUUUAACUUGGAUUAGUUUGCUGAUGGUUGCCAUGAACUCUCCAUUUCUGCGUCUGAUGAUUUAUAUCCUUAAAUGUUCUAAUACGUGUUAUAAAUGAAUGUUGAAUGUCCCUGGACAUUGUAAAUACUUGCGGCAACUUACAUUCUUGUGUUUGGAUUAUGAUCCUAAAGUUAGUAAUGUAAUCUUGUACAGUUCAUAACCUUGUACCUUGAUGAUAGUGUUCUGUAUAGCUUCUGUUGCAAUUUUGUAUGUCUAAACUUUAUGCUUACGAUUGCUACCAUAUUGAUUAUUAAAGUGAAUACCUCAUUUGUAGCUAAACCUUUGGGAAAGACUGAGUGCGAGUGAUUAGGGGUAUUUGGGGUAGGACCUAAUUUGUGGUUAAGAUGCCCUCUCUGACACAAGCACUGCUUGGGGUCUUUGAGAUCUUUGUGAAUUCUGAAGUGCCACAGAUCCAAAGAGUGUCUUGCCCAUGAAUAAUGAUUAUCCCUAACCCUGUAAUCACCAACUCUUAUUAAUCUCUUUAGGAUUAGUACAAAUGAAGAUAGUUUCAUUGUGUUCUUCAAUCUUGUUUACUCUUUGUUAUAUUAUCUUGUUGGGCCUCAAAUUGAUUUCACUAAUGGUCUUUAUCAUAUUUUGUAUGUAUGAUUGAAUUGGUCCUGCUGAGUUCUUUAGAACUCAGGCCCAAGUCCAACUUAGGAUACUCUUUUCGAAGUCUGUCGCUGCUUCAAGUCUGCUGGGCCUGCAUUUCCCUUGGUCCAAUUUCGAGUCAAGUUCCCUUUCCUUUCUCGCUCUUAGAUAAAUGAAGAAUGUUGUUUAUUCUCUAUAUAUAUAUGUGAUACUAACGUUGUUACUGAAAUAUUUCUGUUAUGUUUUUUAUUAUUUUAGGAAAUAGGCAAACCAAAGCCAUUGGUACAUAAAGAAAGAAUCUGAGCUUAUCUGUCAUAUUCACUUAAGUAUUUCAAUCAUUUAUUCUUAAUAAAUAAAAGACUCCGUUU
rnacentral:lncRNA from 1 species